CUUCGUUUCCUUUAAGACAAGGAAUGGGAUGAAAUCAAGGGGAGGUUGUGAUAGUAGACUGGUGGUGGUGUUCGAGUGACAGACGGGAGAGUUAAAAUAUUUUUAAAAAAAAUCCUGAAAAUCUGGUGUGGCUAAAGCCACAUAAAGCCACACCAUGCCCUUACAUGUGUCCGUCCCUGGUUGUGCCUCAUUAAUCUCUCUUUGUUAUCAAGUGUACUUCACACUAAGAUACAAGUCCUUGAUUCAUGUGUACCAUAUGACUUUCAAACAUCGUGAAGAUUAUAUUCGUGGUGUCCUAUCCACUACUUUUGUUUCCUUGUACUUAUCUUAACUUUUUUUGUCCCUGCAGUUUUUAAUCCAACUUCUGUUUCAACACCUUUAUGGUGAAUGUUUAAUACCAAUAUGAGUGAACAUUUUUAGAGUAGUAUGGAAGCUAUAAGCAAUUGAAAGUACCAAAAUUUAAUUUAAUAUAGCAGCAGAUCAUUACAAGUAAGUUCAAUGAGUUGUUUGCUAAGUACAUAAAUAUUUGUUAUUGUUUA